UACGGGGGGGGCAAGCGUUGUUCGGAAUUACUGGGCGUAAAGGGCUCGUAGGCGGCCAACUCAGUCGGACGUGAAAUCCCUCGGCUUAACCGGGGAAUGGCGUCCGAUGCUGGAUGGCUAGAGUUUGGGAGAGGGAUGCGGAAUUCCAGGUGUAGCGGUGAAAUGCGUAGAUAUCUGGAGGAACACCGGUGGCGAAGGCGGCAUCCUGGACCAACACUGACGCUGAGGAGCGAAAGCCAGGGGAGCAAACGGG
rnacentral:rRNA from 1 species